rnacentral:lncRNA from 1 species
AUCAAGUGAUUUGCAAUAGUCAGUUCUAUUUAAGAAAUUAUAUAUAUGUUUGAUAAAAAUUAGGGUGUUUUUAUUGCUCACAAAUGUGUGCUUUUUUGUUUUCUUCACAAUUCUUUGACGACCAGAUGGAAAACCCUUUUCUCGUUUGAAAUUUGGUUUACAUGUACAAGUAAGAUGCUAGACGAAAGUGAUUCUGUUGUGCAAAUAAUAUUGUUAGAGUGGAAACAUAUCACUUAUAAUUAUUUUAUUAUCCUCAAGCUUUUAGUCUAGUGAUUUAAAGCGUUUGAAGGAUAUCAAGGGUUUGAUUUCGAAUUAAGCCUCCCCCUUCCUCUUACUUGUAUUAGGAUUUUAUUCUUCUGAUGUAACAAAAAAAAAUAAUUAUUUUAUUGAUCCCACAAAUCCCAUUUUCCUAAUUACUAUAGUGGGAAUUUUGAAAGAUUUGAAAUUGAAGCUUUCUUAAUUUUGAGAAAAAAAAUGUGAUUAUUAAGUAUUAGCAAUUUCUCAAGGCAAAUGCAUGAUAAUACAAUUAAUGUAGACAAAAUUUUGCUGAGAAUAUUGAGGGAAAGUUGUGACAUUUAUCCAUGGAAUACAAAGGCAAUUUACUUUCCCUUGGACCAAAAUUUUAAUUACAUAAACAAAGUGAGCUGAAAGAGCCAACAAACAAAAAUAAUAGGUGAAUUUAAGUGUGGUUAAAAAUUUUUCACUAUUUAUUAACAAUAAU